rnacentral:lncRNA from 1 species
UCACAUAAAGUGCAUAUUAUACCAGCUUUUCCAUUUCAAAUAUCGAGAUUUGAGGUAAUGGGUAGCUUUGUUUCUUUUGUAGGAUGUCUCUGAAAUGCUCUGGUCUCUACCUGGCUCUAUAAUCACAUAAAGUGCAUAUCAUUGCAGCUUUUCCAUUUCAAAUAUCAAGAUUUGAGGUAAUGGGUAGGUUUGUUUUCGUAGGAUGUCUCUGAAAUGCUCUGGUCUCUACCUGGCUCAAUAUAGAUCCACCUCACCACAUCUUUUGGCAAGUGGGGAUGGCUCAAAGACGGCAGCGAUCAGUGGUGAUGUUUAUAUCCAUCCAUCUGCUAAAGUUCAUCCAACUGCAAAGGUUAUAUUCAGAUACAACUACAACUAACAUAUUCUGAUUAUUAUGUUAUGCUGUAGAUCUCAUGUUGAUUAAUUGAGAUGAAUGGUUUUAUUUUUUACUGCAAUA